rnacentral:rRNA from 1 species
CACGUAGUUAGCCGGUGCUUAUUCUGCGGGUACCGUCAUCCGAUCAAGGUAUUAUCUCGACCGAUUUCUUUCCCGCCAAAAGUGCUUUACAACCCGAAGGCCUUCAUCGCACACGCGGAAUGGCUGGAUCAGGGUUUCCCCCAUUGUCCAAAAUUCCCCACUGCUGCCUCCCGUAGGAGUCUGGGCCGUGUCUCAGUCCCAGUGUGGCUGGUCGUCCUCUCAAACCAGCUACGGAUCGUCGCCUUGGUGAGCCUUUACCCCACCAACUAGCUAAUCCGAUAUCGGCCGCUCCAAUAGUGAGAGGUCUUACGAUCCCCCCUUUCCCCGUAGGGCGUAUGCGGUAUUAGCUACGCUUUCGCGUAGUUAUCCCCCGCUACUGGGCACGUUCCGAUACAUUACUCACCCGUUCGCCACUCGCCACCAGACCGAAGUCCGUGCUGCCGUUCGACUUGCAUGUGUAAGGCAUUCCGCUAGCGUUCAAUCUGAGCCAGGAUCAAACUC